rnacentral:lncRNA from 1 species
AGCGCGCCCGGAGUGAUCCGGCUGCGGGCCAGGGUCUGGGAAGGGGGUGGUGGGUCGCCGUUUCAUCAGAAGCCGGAGGACGGGCGCCAGGGGGCAACUUCCUACAGGAGGGCGUCCCGUUAGAAUGACAGGGCUUUUGCAAAAGUCUGACACCCGUGGCACAGAGCGCCCCAGAUAUGGAGGGUUUCACAGGCUCAUGUGUGGCUUCUUCAGUCCUCUCUUCAUUCACUCAUGUAUUCAUUUAUUCAACGACAUAUUACUAAGGAACCUCCUUAAGCCGGGAUGCUGAACGUGGAAAAAUAGUUGACUCUUGAACAAUGUGGGGGCUUGGGGCACCAACCCCCUGUGCAGUUGAAAAUCGACAUAUAACUUUGACUCGCCAAAAACUUCACUACAAUAGCCUGCUGCCAACCUGAAGUCUUACCAAUAACAUCAACAGUCAAUUAAACAUAUUACUAGGCUGAAAAGGAGAAGGAAGUGAAGGGGUUGGUCUUGCCGUCUCACGAGUGGCAGAGGCAGGAGAAAAUCCAAAUGUCUGGGAUGUUUCUCUUGCAUGCCUCUGGAAUCAAAUGACUCUGAUACUGCAAGCACUUCAGAGUAUGUAUAAGCAAUUUCAGCUGGUUCCGUCCUGAUAUUUACAAAACUGCCUGGAUCAUACUUACAACCAUGCAAUGAUAUAUAUUUCUAUUAAGAAAGCAACGAUUUGCUUGAAAGAUGAAGGAAAACAAACUAAGUAUUUAUGUACAAUGAGUCCUAAGUGUACACCACUAUGUUUUCCAUCAGCUUUUGAUUUUCUGUCACUCCUCUUUUUCUUUGAAAUUUAGAGUCAGAAGUGAACUGACUUCAUGGUUUUCCUCAUGAUUAUUUGAUAUCCUCUAGGGAAUCAUGACUUAAAGACUGCAUUCUUCCUUCUCAAAACUCAUGUUAAAGAUUUCUCCAUGCAGAGCCACAGGCUAUUUUGGAGUUUGAAAUGGAGCAGUUAAAACUAGGAGGUCACACACGUUGAGAUUAUUCCUUCACUGCAUCUCGCCCGGCUUGUGUGCCUGAGGAGACACGCAUCUCAGAGGGCAGAGGGGCAGCCGUUGUCUAGUGAGGUUAUUUCACCUACUAUAUAAUAAAAUGUACAGGACAAUAGCGCA